rnacentral:rRNA from 1 species
GACGAACGCUGGCGGCGUGCUUAACACAUGCAAGUCGAACGGAAAGGCCCUGCUUUUGUGGGGUGCUCGAGUGGCGAACGGGUGAGUAACACGUGAGUAACCUGCCCUUGACUUUGGGAUAACUUCAGGAAACUGGGGCUAAUACCGGAUAGGAGCUCCUGCUGCAUGGUGGGGGUUGGAAAGUUUCGGCGGUUGGGGAUGGACUCGCGGCUUAUCAGCUUGUUGGUGGGGUAGUGGCUGACCAAGGCUUUGACGGGUAGGCGGCCUGAGAGGUUGCCCAGUCUCAUGAGGACUGAGUUAGGGCCCAGUCUGCUACGGUAGGCAGAAGUCGGGAGUAUGGCACAGUGGGCUGAAGUCUGGUGCGGCGACGUCGCGGUGGUGAUGACGGCCUUCGGGUUGGGAACAGCUUUCGCCUGUGACGAAGCGUGAGUGACGGUAAUGGUUAAAGAAGCACCGGCUAACUACGUG